rnacentral:rRNA from 1 species
AUACGGAAGGUCCGGGCGUUAUCCGGAUUUAUUGGGUUUAAAGGGAGCGCAGACGGCCUGUUAAGCGUGCAGUGAAAUGUGGGUGCUCAACAUCUGCACUGCUGCGUGAACUGGCGGGGUUGUGUUGUUUGGAGGUGCUCCGCAUUCGUGGUGUAGCGGUGGAAUGCUUAGAUAUCACGAGGAACCCCGAUUGCGAAGGCAGCGCACCGUUGGCACACUGACGUUGAGGCUCGAAGGUGCGGGUAUCGAACAGGAUUAGAUACCCUGGUAGUCCGCACGGUAAACGAUGGAUGCCCGCUGUCGGCGAUACACUGCCGGCGGCCAAGCGAAAGCGUUAAGCAUCCCACCUGGGGAGUACGCCGGCAACGGUGAAACUCAAAGGAAUUGACGGGG